UACGGAGGGUGCAAGCGUUAUCCGGAUUUACUGGGUUUAAAGGGUGCGUAGGCGGAUAGGUAAGUCAGUGGUGAAAUCCCCGAGCUCAACUUGGGAACUGCCGUUGAUACUAUCUGUCUUGAAUACCGUGGAGGUGAGCGGAAUAUGUCAUGUAGCGGUGAAAUGCUUAGAGAUUGGGAAGAACACCAGUGGCGAAGGCGGCUAUCUGGACGGUUACUGACGCUAAGACGCGAAAGCGUGGGGAGCAAACAGG
rnacentral:rRNA from 1 species